GAAUUGCAGAAUCCCGCGAAUCAUCGAGUCUUUGAACGCAAGUUGCGCCCGAAGCCACCUGGCCGAGGGCACGUCUGCCUGGGUGUCACGCAUCGUUGCCCCCAACCCCAUCUCCUUGCAAAGGGACGAGGGGGCCUGUGGGGCAGAAAUUGGCCUCCCGUGAGCUCAUGCAUGCGGUUGGCCUAAAAGCGAGUCCUCGGCGACGCGCGCCACGACAAUCGGUGGUUGUCAAACCCUCGUGUCCCGUCGUGCGUGCCGCGUCGCUCAUCGUGUGCUCCUUGACCCUGCUGUGUCGCGCUAGCGACGCUUCCAACGCGACCCCA
rnacentral:rRNA from 1 species